GAACCUAUAAAGAUCAUUCAAUGGUGGUGGCCAAGAUCCCUCUGGGAUCUCUUGUUAAUUUUGAGAGACAUAUUUCUGAAAUCUGUAGGAAAGUCUCACGACAACUGAAAUGUAUUGAAGCUUUUUAACUUAACAAGGUAGACUUGUAAUUUACUGGUCCAUGAAAAGUAGCAGAAAGCGGCAAAAGAUACAAGAAAGAGCCCAGCGUUUUAUCCAUAAUGAUCACAACUCGUCUUUUAGCCUGUUACUUAUUUAACCAAUUGUGAUAAAUUGCAUGUAAGGCGCCUGAAAGAUAAGGGUUGUGAAGUUUUUUUUUAAAUAGUCAAACAGAUAUCACUUGUAUAUAUUCAAAACUUUAUUGACAUUAAGAAAUCCAACUAAGACCUCAGGAAUGAGUAUAUGGCUGAGGUGCCCAGGGAAAACAUUGGGAGGUAUGGUCAAAAGUCGGUAAACAUUGUGAGGUAUGGUCAAAAGUCGGUAAACACAUUGUAAGGUAUGGUCAAAAGUCGGUAAACAUUGUGAGGUAUGGUCAAAAGUCGGUAAACACUGUGAGGUAUGGGCAAAAGUCGGUAAACAUUGUGAGGUAUGGUCAAAAGUCGGUAAACAUUGUGAGGUAUGGUCAAAAGUCGGUAAACACUGUGAGGUAUGGUCAAAAGUCGGUAAACACUAUGAGGUAUGGUCAAAAGUCGGUAAACAUUGUGAGGUUUGGGGUAAACACUGUGAGAUAUGGUCAAAAGUCGGUAAACACUGAGGUAUGGUCAGAAGUCGGUAAACACUGAGGUAUGGUCAAAAGUCGGUAAACACUGGGGUAAACACUGAUGUAUGGCCAAAAGUCGGUAAACACUGUGAGGUAUGGGGUAAACACUGAGGUAUGGUCAAAAGUCGGUAAACACUGAGGUAUGGGGUAAACACUGUGAGGUAUGGUCAAAAGUCGGUAAACGCUGUGAGGUAUGGCCAAAAGUCGGUAAACACUGUGAGGUAUGGGGUAAACACUGAGGUAUGGUCAGAAGUCGGUAAACACUGAGGUAUGGUCAAAAGUCGGUAAACACUGGGGUAAACACUGUGAGGUAUGGCCAAAAGUCGGUAAACACUGUGAGGUAUGGUCAAAAGUCGGUAAACACUGUGAGGUAUGGGGUAAACACUGUGAGGUAUGGGGUAAACACUGUGAGGUAUGGGGUAAACACUGUGAGGUAUGGGGUAAACACUGAGGUAUGGCCAAAAGUCGGUAAACACUGAGGUAUGGGGUAAACACUGUGAGGUAUGGUCAAAAGUCGGUAAACACUGUGAGGUAUGGGGUAAACACUGUGAGGUAUGGGGUAAACACUGUGAGGUAUGGGGUAAACACUGUGAGGUAUGGGGUAAACACUGUGAGGUAUGGGGUAAACACUGAGGUAUGGUCAAAAGUCGGUAAACACUGAGGUAUGGGGUAAACACUGUGAGGUAGGUCAAAA